rnacentral:lncRNA from 1 species
GGACUGGCUGCUCAAACUCCACAAUUUAAUGAAAAAUCUCAGAUGAUGACUCAGAAAACCUCUAAUGAUCUGAGGAAUAUAUUAAGGGAUUCCAGAGUCAAAGGCUGAUCAUGGAGGGCAUUGAUGAGGGAAGACUUCAGCCAGAAAACAACCAACUAAAGAAAGAAAUAAAAAGAAAAGAAGAAAGGAAAGAAAGGAGAGAAAGAAAAGGAAAGAAGGAGAGAGAGAAGGAAGGAAGGAGAGAGAGAGAAAGGAAAGAAAAAAGAAGGAAAGAAGGAAGGGAAGGAAGGAAAGGAAGAAAGAAAAGCACAGCACUAUGGACCUAGUGCUUAAUUGUACCCAAGACUCUGUAUUAAGAGAGAACUCUGUAGGGUUCAGUCCCUCUUCUCAGAAUAUAUAGUUUAGGCUGGGCACGAUGGCUCACGCCUGUAAUCCCAGCAUUUUGGGAGGCCAAGGCAGGUGGAUCACUUGAGGUCAGCAGUACGGGACCAGCCUGGCCAACAUGGCGAAACCCUGUCUCCACUAAAAAUACAAAAAUUAGCCAGGCAUGGUGGUGCAUACCUGUAGUCCCAGCUAUUUGGGAGGCUAAGGCAGGAGAAUCACUUGAACGUUGGAGGCAGGGGCUGCAGUGAGCUGUGAUUGUGCCAGUGCACUUCAGCCUGGGCAACAGAGCAAGACUCUGUCUCAAAAAAAAAAAAA